GGAACCAAUGGUCCACUGUGCAUGCCUGUUGUUUCCAUCCCACCCUAAAACCACCGGCUUCUUGCUUCUCGCUGCAUAUAUGCAGCUCUCUCUCUCUCUCUCUUUUCGUGUUCAUUCAUCUACUAGUUUCUAUCGUCAAGGAUGAAGCUCGGCAACACGGCAUGCAUGGCCGUCACUUUAGGGGCUGCACUCGAGCUGAAAGACCAAGUCGCCAAACCCUACUCGUCGACCAUCAAGAGGAACCUGUCGGCGAUUGGGUCGUCUGCAGCCAAAGUGAUCCGGCAGAGCGAAUUCAGGCGGCGCGAGGAGGAUUCCUCAUCUAAAGAGGAGUCAUUGAGGUUGGUCAUGUAUUUGAGCUGCUGGGGGCCGAACUGAUAUGAAUGCUUCGUCAACGUUUGAUCUCUGGAUGCUUUCCUUGCAACACAGUCACACACACCCCGCCACGGAGGGUAUGAGCACAAGAUCACAGAGAAGCAGCACAGCAGCGUGACGAAGCUUCAAAGACUCAGUAAUAAGGAAAGCUACUGUCGCGUAUGUACCUGUGUCGUCACCAAUCACUCGACUCUUACACUCCCGCCCAGAAUUGUGCGGCCCCCACCAGCCAAGCAUGGGUUCCAGGUGCGGGUUGGACGAUAGACGGUGGGAUUUGAUGUGGAUAAGAUGAGCAAAUUGGACACGUGAUCUGAACACGUGGCUCCCAUCUGGGAAUAUAUCCAAAUACCGGAAACCACCAUAGCCCAUGGUUUUUCAGAAAACCGCCAAAGAUCCCGUCUAUAAAUGGAAUCCAUCUUCAGGCCCUUCACUUCUUCCGGCCGUAGCUCACCUUCCUUCAAUUCAUCUUUGGAGCUCGGCCACAGAAAGUUGGCAGCAGCACAGACGUAAAGGGCGACAAUCGAGGCCCAAAGUUGUGGUAGAAGGGAUGAGGUAUCUGAACAGUGUAUGGAUGGCAGCGAGCGUGGCGGCGGUGCAGGGUCAAGCCGACCAGGGCAUCAAGUCCAGCGGCCACCUCGCCACCGUCGCCACCGCAGCUGUCGCCGCCGCUGCCGCCGCCGCGGGGCUCGGGGUGGUUCGCGAUCUUGGCGGAGGGGGCAACGAGGAGCGGCGGAAGCUGGCGGAAGACUCGUUCCGGAAGGCCAUGUACCUCAGCUGCUGGGGACCCAACUAGCGGAAGAACGCCACUCCCCGAUCGACGUACGCCGGCGGUACUGAUGCGAGGGGAGUGAGAGCGUGAGACUGUAAAUGAUGUAACUAGACCUGUAAUCGUUGUAUAUUCGUAUAUGUGAUGAUGAGAGAGAGAGAGAAAGAAUCAAUGAGGAAGCGAAGGCUUGCGCAGUGA